rnacentral:rRNA from 1 species
AUAUUGAAAACUCCGGUGGAUAGAGAUGGGCACGCGCAAGAUUAGAUAGUUGGUGAGGUAACGGCUCACCAAGUCUACGAUCUUUAGGGGGCCUGAGAGGGUGAUCCCCCACACUGGUACUGAGACACGGACCAGACUCCUACGGGAGGCAGCAGUGAGGAAUAUUGGACAAUGGGUGCGAGCCUGAUCCAGCCAUCCCGCGUGAAGGACGACGGCCCUAUGGGUUGUAAACUUCUUUUGUAUAGGGAUAAACCUAGAUACGUGUAUCUAGCUGAAGGUACUAUACGAAUAAGCACCGGCUAACUCCGUGCCAGCAGCCGCGGUAAUACGGAGGGUGCAAGCGUUAUCCGGAUUUAUUGGGUUUAAAGGGUCCGUAGGCGGAUUUGUAAGUCAGUGGUGAAAUCUCACAGCUUAACUGUGAAACUGCCAUUGAUACUGCAAGUCUUGAGUGUUGUUGAAGUAGCUGGAAUAAGUAGUGUAGCGGUGAAAUGCAUAGAUAUUACUUAGAACACCAAUUGCGAAGGCAGGUUACUAAGCAACAACUGACGCUGAUGGACGAAAGCGUGGGGAGCGAACAGGAUUAGAUACCCUGGUAGUCCACGCCGUAAACGAUGCUAACUCGUUUUUGGAGCGCAAGCUUCAGAGACUAAGCGAAAGUGAUAAGUUAGCCACCUGGGGAGUACGAACGCAAGUUUGAAACUCAAAGGAAUUGACGGGGGCCCGCACAAGCGGUGGAUUAUGUGGUUUAAUUCGAUGAUACGCGAGGAACCUUACCAAGGCUUAAAUGGGAAAUGACAGGUUUAGAAAUAGACUUUUCUUCGGACAUUUUUCAAGGUGCUGCAUGGUUGUCGUCAGCUCGUGCCGUGAGGUGUUAGGUUAAGUCCUGCAACGAGCGCAACCCCUGUCACUAGUUGCCAUCAUUAAGUUGGGGACUCUAGUGAGACUGCCUACGCAAGUAGAGAGGAAGGUGGGGAUGACGUCAAAUCAUCACGGCCCUUACGCCUUGGGCCACACACGUAAUACAAUGGCCGGUACAGAGGGCAGCUACACUGCGAAGUGAUGCAAAUCUCGAAAGCCGGUCUCAGUUCGGAUUGGAGUCUGCAACUCGACUCUAUGAAGCUGGAAUCGCUAGUAAUCGCGCAUCAGCCAUGGCGCGGUGAAUACGUUCCCGGGCCUUGUACACACCGCCCGUCAAGCCAUGGAAGUCUGGGGUACCUGAAGUCGGUGACCGUAACAGGAGCUGCCUAGGGUAAAACAGGUAACUAGGGCUAAGUCGUAACAAGGUAGCCGUACCGGAAGGUGCGGCUG